GAUGAACGCUGGCGGCGUGCCUAAUACAUGCAAGUCGAGCGAACAGACGAGGAGCUUGCUCCUCUGACGUUAGCGGCGGACGGGUGAGUAACACGUGGAUAACCUACCUAUAAGACUGGGAUAACUUCGGGAAACCGGAGCUAAUACCGGAUAAUAUAUUGAACCGCAUGGUUCAAUAGUGAAAGACGGUUUUGCUGUCACUUAUAGAUGGAUCCGCGCCGCAUUAGCUAGUUGGUAAGGUAACGGCUUACCAAGGCAACGAUGCGUAGCCGACCUGAGAGGGUGAUCGGCCACACUGGAACUGAGACACGGUCCAGACUCUUACGGGAGGCAGCAGUAGGGAAUCUUCCGCAAUGGGCGAAAGCUUGACGGAGCAACGCCGCGUGAGUGAUGAAGGUCUUCGGAUCGUAAAACUCUGUUAUUAGGGAAGAACAAAUGUGUAAGUAACUAUGCACGUCUUGACGGUACCUAAUCAGAAAGCCACGGCUAACUACGUG
rnacentral:rRNA from 1 species